UUGCCAAGCCCUAGUAGUGCAUGAAACUCAUAAGUAUGAAUUGCCAUUGGCCCGUGUCCUGUUUUAUUGGAUAAUAGCCAAUCACAACAUUUAGUUGUGUGCUUCAAAACUGCACCGUUUUGAUAAAUGAGGCCAAUAUUACACUUCUGCCACUCGUUGACUCUUUGUUUGACCAACAUUGCCUUGCAUUUUGUUCAUGUUUGCUUCAAAC
rnacentral:lncRNA from 1 species